GAUGAAGAACGCAGCGAAACGCGAUAGUUAAUGUGAAUUGCAGAAUUCAGUGAAUCAUCGAGUCUUUGAACGCGCAUUGCGACCCCUGGUAUUCCGGGGGGCAUGCCUGUCCGAGCGUCAUUGCUGCCCAUCAAGCGCGGCUUGUGUGUUGGGCCGCCGUCCGCCUUCCCCCCCGGGGGGAGGGGGACGGGCCCGAAAGGCAGCGGCGGCACCGCGUCCGGUCCUCGAGCGUAUGGGGCUCUGUCACCCGCUCUGGAGGCCCGGCCGGCGCCCGCCGACCCCCAACCUUCUUCUAACCAGGUUGACCUCGGAUCAGGUAGGGAUACCCGCUGAACUUAAGCAUAUCAAUAAGCGGAGGA
rnacentral:misc_RNA from 1 species